rnacentral:lncRNA from 1 species
GGUUGCUUGGCAACCAGAGGGUGACAGUUUGAGGAGCUCAGGGAGCUUUGACAAUGUGACUUCAAGAUAGGUGAAGGACAGUAGGAGGCACUGAGUCUGCUGAAAGGAAUCGCAACAUGGAAGCAUCAUUUAAAUAAAGAUUCAUCUCUCUGUGUGAUGAUUCUAAGGAGAUUAUUCAGGAGUGUACAAGACACACACUUAGAUAUUGGAGAAUAUUGGGUAUGCUUCCACUGAAGACAGUUGACUCCUGCCCUGGAGAUAAAUUUGUGAGGUUCUUUGUAAAGACACCAAAGGUUGAACUGUAAAACCACAGGCUUUACAAAGGGGGUGGGGAGAUUAUCACACAGAAUUAUUUUAUG